AUACUUUAAAAUAAGCAUUAUUUUGGAACUUUGGUUCGGUCUUCACACUCUUGUGUGACAUAGAUCUCUCUCAAAUUUUGUUACCACCUUAGUACAUUACCCAUCUGACA
rnacentral:snoRNA from 1 species